AUUGAACGCUGGCGGCAGGCCUAUCACAUGCAAGUCGAACGAGUGGCGGACGGGUGAGUAAUGUCUGGGAAACUGCCUGAUGGAGGGGGAUACCUACUGUAAACGGUAGCUAAUACCGCAUACCAUCAGAUGUGCCCAGAUGGGAUUAGCUAGUUGGGGGGGUAACGGAUCACCAAGGCGACGAUCCAGAUCUGGUCUGAGAGGAUGAACGUCCACACUGGAACUGAGACACGGUCGAAAAUCAUACGGGAGGCAGCAGUGGGGAAUAUUGCACAAGGUGUGCAAGCCGGAUGCAGCAAUGCCGCGUGUAUGAAGAAGGUCUUCGGAUUGUAAAGUACUUUAAGCGGGGAGGCGUUACGCGAAGAAAAAGCACCGGCUAACACCGUGCCAGCAGCCGCGGUAAUUC
rnacentral:rRNA from 1 species